GAUGAAGAACGCAGCGAAAUGCGAUAAGUAGUGUGAAUUGCAGAAUUCAGUGAAUCAUCGAAUCUUUGAACGCACAUUGCGCCCCUUGGUAUUCCAUGGGGCAUGCCUGUUCGAGCGUCAUUUGUACCUUCAAGCUUUGCUUGGUGUUGGGUGUUUGUCUCGCCUUUGCGUGUAGACUCGCCUUAAAAUAAUUGGCAGCCGGCGUAUUGAUUUCGGAGCGCAGUACAUCUCGCGCUUUGCACUCAUAACGACAGCGUCCAAAAGUACAUUUUACACUCUUGACCUCGGAUCAGGUAGGGAUACCCGCUGAACUUAAGCAUAUAAUAAGCGGAGGA
rnacentral:misc_RNA from 1 species